rfam:Endozoicomonas montiporae strain LMG 24815 scaffold00004, whole genome shotgun sequence.
AAGGUCGGCUGUAAAUAUGCACGGUCGUACCCGCUUUAUGUUUAAGCAUAUUCUAUGGAGACUUUAUCAUGGCUUUGACUGUUGAAAAGAAAGCUGAAAUCAUCAAGGAAUUCGGUCGCUCUGAA